rnacentral:misc_RNA from 1 species
GAUGAAGAACGCAGCGAAAUGCGAUAAGUAAUGUGAAUUGCAGAAUUCAGUGAAUCAUCGAAUCUUUGAACGCACAUUGCGCCCCCUGGUAUUCCGGGGGGCAUGCCUGUUCGAGCGUCAUUUCACCACUCAAGCCUCGCUUGGUAUUGGGCAACGCGGUCCGCCGCGUGCCUCAAAUCGACCGGCUGGGUCUUCUGUCCCCUAAGCGUUGUGGAAACUUUCGCUAAAGGGUGUUCGGGAGGCUACGCCGUAAAACAACCCCAUUUCUAAGGUUGACCUCGGAUCAGGUAGGGAUUCCCGCUGAACUUAAGCAUAUCAAUAAGCGGAGGA